rnacentral:siRNA from 1 species
AUAGUCUGCCCAUGUCUAUUUAGA